AGUGGCGGACGGGUGAGUAACGCGUGAGAAUCUGCCUUGGGGUCGGGGACAACCACUGGAAACGGUGGCUAAUACCGGAUAAGCCGAUUGGUGAAAGAUUUAUUGCCCGAAGAGGAGCUCGCGUCUGAUUAGCUAGUUGGUGAGGUAAGAGCUCACCAAGGCAGCGAUCAGUAGCUGGUCUGAGAGGACGAUCAGCCACACUGGGACUGAGACACGGCCCAGACUCCUACGGGAGGCAGCAGUGGGGAAUUUUCCGCAAUGGGCGAAAGCCUGACGGAGCAAGACCGCGUGAGGGAGGAAGGCUCUUGGGUUGUAAACCUCUUUUCUCAGGGAAGAAGCUCUGACGGUACCUGAGGAAUCAGCCUCGGCUAACUCCGUGCCAGCAGCCGCGGUAAUACGGAGGAGGCAAGCGUUAUCCGGAAUUAUUGGGCGUAAAGCGUCCGCAGGUGGCGAUUCAAGUCUGCUGUCAAAGCACGGGGCUUAACUCCGUAAAGGCAGUGGAAACUGAAUAGCUAGAGUGCCGUAGGGGUAGAGGGAAUUCCCGGUGUAGCGGUGAAAUGCGUAGAGAUCGGGAAGAACAUCGGUGGCGAAAGCGCUCUACUGGACGGCAACUGACACUCAGGGACGNAAGCUAGGGGAGCGAAUGGGAUUAGAUACCCC
rnacentral:rRNA from 1 species